AACGAACGCUGGCGGCAGGCUUAACACAUGCAAGUCGAGCGCCCCGCAAGGGGAGCGGCAGACGGGUGAGUAACACGUGGGAAUCUACCCAUCCCUGCGGAACAACUCCGGGAAACUGGAGCUAAUACCGCAUACGCCCUUCGGGGGAAAGAUUUAUCGGGGAUGGAUGAGCCCGCGUUGGAUUAGCUAGUUGGUGGGGUAAAGGCCUACCAAGGCGACGAUCCAUAGCUGGUCUGAGAGGAUGAUCAGCCACAUUGGGACUGAGACACGGCCCAAACUCCUACGGGAGGCAGCAGUGGGGAAUAUUGGACAAUGGGCGCAAGCCUGAUCCAGCCAUGCCGCGUGAGUGAUGAAGGCCUUAGGGUUGUAAAGCUCUUUCACCGAUGAAGAUAAUGACGGUAGUCGGAGAAGAAGCCCCGGCUAACUUCGUGCCAGCAGCCGCAGUAAUAC
rnacentral:rRNA from 1 species